rnacentral:rRNA from 1 species
AUUGAACGCUGGCGGUAUGCUUAACACAUGCAAGUCGAACGAUGAGAAAGAGCUUGCUCUUUCGAUUAGUGGCGGACGGGUGCGUAACGCGUAGGAAUCUACCUAUUAAUGGGGGACAACUUAGGGAAACUUAAGCUAAUACCGCAUACGCCCUACGGGGGAAAGAAGGGGAUCGCAAAACCUUUUGCUAAUAGAUGAGCCUGCGUAGGAUUAGCUAGUUGGUGGGGUAAAAGCUCACCAAGGCGACGAUCCUUAACUGGUUUGAGAGAAUGAUCAGUCACCCUGGAACUGAGACACGGUCCGGACUCCUACGGGAGGCAGCGGUGGGGAAUAUUGGACGAAGGGCGAAAGCCUGAUCCAGCAAUACCGCGUGUGUGAAGAAGGCCAUAGGGUUGUAAAGCACUUUCAAUUGGAAGGAAAACCUCGAAGCUAAUACCUUCGAGUUUGACAUUACCUUUAGAAGAAGCACCGGCUAACUACGUGCCAGCCGCCGCCGUAA